rnacentral:rRNA from 1 species
GACGAACGCUGGGGGCGUGCUUCACAAAUGCUAGUCGAACGGAGUGGCGAACGGGCGAGUAACACGUGGAUGAACUGCCCUGCACUUCGGCAUAAGCCUGGGAAACUGGGUCUAAUACCGGAUCGUAUGGGAUGGGCCCGCGGUCUAUCAGCUUGGUGGUGGGGUAAUGGCCUACCAAGGCGGCGACGGGUAGGCGGCCUGAGAGGGGGGACGGCCACCUGGGGGCUGCGACACUGCCCAGACUCGUACUGGAGGGAGUAGUGGGGAAUAUUGGACAAUGGGCGGGAGUAUGAUGCAGCGACGACGCGGGGGGGAUGGCCGCCUUCGGGUUGUGAACUCCUUGUACCAGCGCCGCGGUAGAUGGAGAAGUAGCAACGGCUAACUACGUGCCAGCAGCCGCGGUAAUAC